rnacentral:tRNA from 1 species
AGCUCAGUUGGUAGAGCAGCGCUUUCGUAAAGCGCGGGUCGGAGGUUCGAUCCCUCUC